CGCAGAGGGGCGGUGGCCACGUGACCGGACAACCGCGCGCCGGGUCCCGGGUCCCGGCGUCCGCCCGGUGGCCCCCGCCGGCUGCGGGCGCGCUCGGCCUGCUUCCCGCCCCCCCCACCCUUCUCCUAACGCUCCGCGCGGGCCACUCGGGGGUGGUGCGGCGGCGACGGCGACUCCGGUCCGGGCUCCCUGACCUGUAACCUCCCGGGGACGCUGACGAGCAGCCGCGCUCAGCUCAAGAACCACCCCCUCCAAGUUGUCUUCCUGGAUUUACUCGGCACCAAAGUUAGCCUUCUCUUUCCUGGGGCUCGGCAGCCUGGAAAGAGAAACGGUGGUGGUGGAUGAUUGCAGUGAUCCCGAUUUGGAAGUUGUGUGGCAGGUGACUUAGAAGGAUAAGUGGAGCCCGGGGAUGGAGGCACCGACAUGUCUUCUGAACAAAGGGAGAGCGAAUAUGGCGGCGGCGACGGGAGCCACGUGCUGUAUUCCAACAGCCUGUGAAAAACUGAAUCCUUCAAAGAACGAUGUGAGUGAACUUGGAAGCAGAUGCUCUCAGUAGAGCCUUCAGAUGAGACUGCAACCCUGGCUGACACCUGAUUGCAGCACUCGCGAGAGACCUUGAAGCAGAAGCCACAGAGAGUGAGAGUGCAAGCAGGGGAGAGGGAGAGAGAGAGAGAGAGAGA